CCGUCGCAUUUGAGUCGGCAAUUGUUUUUUUUCCUCGUUUGUUGUCAUUUUCGUUUUUAAUGGCGGCCUGCUGUCAUUUAAAAUGAAUAAAUAUAUUACUUUUAGAAAAGGGCCGACCUCUCGUGAAGAGAACGAUGGAAUUUAUAGAUUCGGCUGGGAAACUUGUCGAGAAAGCUUUUUUGCUUUUUUAGAUAAACUGACACGAGAGUUUGGUACCUUCUCAAACAGGCAUAAUUUCAAUCUAAUUAAUUGUAUCUGAGAUUUUUUUUACCAGAUUUUUUUACUAACAGGGAGCCCUCACUUUUUGCCGUAGCAAAACUGUUGGCAACUGGUCUUGUAAAUCUGAACAGGGUAGAAGUUCUUUAGCAUCCUGUAACAAAUCACCUGCUGGAAGUCAUCAUCCACACCCAUACUGCCCUCUUCGCUUUAUUGUUUUCGAUGAGUGACAAAACAGAGAAAAAAGAAUGCUGCGUGAAUGGAUUCUGUCACUGUCCAUGGUAUAGGCUGUUGUAUUCUCGUAAUAUAAUUGAGGUGUUAAUCGAACUGACCCCAUGGGAAUCUUUCAACCCCUAAUGGAUUCUUAAAAGGUUCGUCGUUUGCUCGUAAGCCAGUUUGAAUGGCAGGUGAAGGCCAGUGUCAAAAAAAAAAUAAUCGACUAACUUUUCGUUUUUAUGGCAUAGCAGUCUUGGUCCUGGUCUUGGUCUUGGUUGGUUUUUUUAUCAGAUAACGGAAAUCCUCAGAUUAAUUAUUUAUUACCUCCAUUGGCUGCUGCCAUCGAGGAUGCGUUCGUCAGAUUGGCUGGUGAUGGUGAUAUCAGCGUAUUUGUUAUCCUUGUUGUAGCUGGGAGUAGAGUAAGCUGGUGCAGGUUAGCUAGUAGUAGGGUACUUUGGUGCAGGGAAGUUUGGGGUAGUAGUGAUAUAUCAAAUCUAUAAAUAUCUAUAAAUAUCUCAACCCCUGUAUAUGCUGUACAUGCAAAGUAACAUGUGCAAAUUCGAGCGCGUGUCCGUCCUGGUGUCGAAGACGUUUCAUCAUUUUUAUGUAUAGCUCGGGACAAAGAUCGGCAUUAACUCACGAUUUCUUCAUGUUGAUUUAUUCAUAUCAGCUCCUCGCGUAUUUCAUUCUUUUUUCAUAUUUGAAUUGGUUAAACAUAGCGGUAAUCUCCUCCUAUAAACCACUUUAAACGUUUAGCAUUAAUUGAUGUUUUAAAGUUGAUUUUUUUGGGCGUUAUUGGCUAACAUCGUUUUCUUUUGUUGUUGUGGCUCUCCCGCAUCUAUUCGGCCGAUCCAAACUAAUACACAACGCCAGUUUUAUUUCGAAAGUGACGAGACCGAUGUGCCUUGUGCCACAUUUCACUCAACUUUUCUUUCUGGUUUUUCCAGCUGCGAUAACUAUAUAAUAGAGUCUGUGAUUACUUAAUGCGUCCGCGUUCUAUAUACCACAGCCGUUGGGCCGGUAUUCGUCCAGCUCAACAUCCAUUUCAAUUACAGCCAACAGGUGUGCGCCAUUAUCGAUUUUUCAUUAUACACUUCAUUAACAGAUUUAUUUGUGUUUCUAUACACGCUCCAAGUUGGGUUAACCUAAAUAAAAAAUGUCAUCGUA
rnacentral:lncRNA from 1 species